GGGAUGAACGCUGGCGGUAUGCCUUACACAUGCAAGUCGUACGAGAGUUUUUAACUCAAGUGGCGGACGGGUGAGUAACACGUAAGAAUUUGCCUUUAGGAGGGGGAUAACAACUGGAAACGGUUGCUAAUACCCCAUAUGCUUUCGAGUGAAACGGAUUUUCCGCCUAAAGAGAAGCUUGCGGCUGAUUAGCUAGUUGGCGGGGUAAUGGCCCACCAAGGCGACGAUCCGUAGCUGGUCUGAGAGGAUGAUCAGCCACACUGGAACUGAGACACGGUCCAGACUCCUACGGGAGGCAGCAAUGGGGAAUAUUGGACAAUGGGCGCAAGCCUGGAUCCAGCCAUGCCGCGUGUGUGAAGAAGGCCUUCGGGUUGUAAAGCACUUUUGUUGGGGAAGAAAAGCUACCGGUUAAUACCCGGGAGUCAUGACGGUACCCAAAGAAUAAGCACCGGCUAACUUCGUGCCAGCAGCCGC
rnacentral:rRNA from 1 species